rnacentral:lncRNA from 1 species
CAAGGAAAACCGUGCGAUUAAGGUCGGUUUGAUCCGACGGCCCAUGUUCAUUUGGAAGGGCUAUAUAAGGAGGCCCCCUGGCCCCUGGAGAACAUACCUCUUCUACAGAAUCAAAGCUAGGGUUUCAAUUAUUCAUCCAAGUAGAGAGGAUCCCUCUAGUUCAUCUAGUUCUAGUUCUAGUUGUAAUCUGCAAAAUAGGGAGAGAGAAGAGGAGAGCGGAGGAGGAGCCGGACCUGUCAGAUCUUCCUAAACAUUGUACUUUUGCAGCAACUGGUUCGUUCUUCAUCGUUCUCCAAGUUCUUCAAUUCAUAAUUUUUGAGUUCUUUAAUUACUUUUAUUUACAUUCAAGUUAUUUAUUAGAUUCCCACUUGCAUCAAGUGUUCUAGUCUUUGAAACACUAGAAUAGUAAUUAAUAGAUUAGACGUGGUGUUUAGUCUUGCAAUUACCUGGAAUUACACCCACUCUUGCAGAUUGUUGUGGUCGCCCUAGGGUAGUGACAGCCCUAACGGUCGACGUAUUCCACCUCGUUCGGAUCAGUGUUUGUAGGACCGAAGUCAGAGCUUCGUAGCCCCCUUCUCAUCUCUUUCUGUGGUUAGUGUUCUGAUGUCCCUAAAUAAAUAAUCUUUGAAGUAAUUCUUGAUUCUUAGAUCAACUAGAGAACUCUCAGGAAACUUCCUCUCUUCCCACCAAAAAUAAUUAUAUAGUUAUCCUUAGGCGAUCUUGAAUCUUAAUUAGUACAUUCACGUUCCCUGUGGAAAAUCGAUACUCUGGAAUACUCCCGGGUGAAAGCUACAUCGGUAUCCGUGCGAUUGCGGAUUUUUCUGUUUGCGUUUAAAAUACACAACAAGCUAUUUUACUGACCCUAACUAUAUAGUUGAAGACUCUAAGCAGGUCAGGACAAGAAGAAGAUGACGCAACCGCAACCAGAGGAGGCAAAUCAUCAAGGACGGAUGGGCAGACUAAGAAGGAGAAGUGGUAAAGUCUGAAGACAUACAACUUGAACAGAACUAUCCUGAGGAGACCGUAGCACGGAGUCACGUGUGGAUAGAGAAGAUAGUUAUACACGAAGAGGAGGCGCCGCCGGAACCACCGACUAUGCCAUCCAGCGAAUCCCAGGACAACUGAGAAAAUGGAGAGUCCCAUUCGGAGGACUUAAAAAAACUGAAAGCCUUGCCAAGAGGUAAACUUGGUAGUUAUUCUUUUCCUUUUAAUUAUUUAAAAUAGUUUUCUUAGUUAAUCAGGUUCAUAUCAUCUUGAAAAGAAAAUAAAAAUAUUAAAAAUAGUAAGCCCCAUGUGAGUAUGCUCAUGGCAUAAAACCCAUAAGUACAUUCACUAUUGUGGCGCAAAAAUAAAAUACAUAUAUUCCUAUCCUAUAAAAAUAAAAAUAUAAAAAUAAUUUUAUGAUCCUAGUAAAGAGAGUAACAUUUAUUGAGGAGGCUCAACAUGACAAAGGCUAGAUAUUUAUGCUAACCCUUAACUAGUUCCACAAAGCAUAUUUGUCUAUUUGGGCUCCACAGAAUUCAAUGAUCAAAGAAGACUAGUAGACGGAGGACAUCCUAAUCGCUGUCAGGGUGCUGCCGACAUUCAAAUAAAACUCUGCCACCUGCUAGCUACAUUAUAAGAAAUUACGUCAAAAUCUAGCUUGGGGGAGAGCACCCCCAUUUAUCCACCUAAGUGUUAUACUCACGUUUAUACUUUAGUCAAAUAAUAAAAAGAUGCAUAAUCAUAAAAACCCAAAUAAAGAUUUUGUGCUUAUAUAUAUCUUUGCUUAAAUUGCAAAAUAGAUAAAUAAAUAAAGUUUGCUAUGAACCCUCAUGAUAAGCUCUCACAUGGAAAUGAUGAAUAGUUGCUCUUCCAUGACUAGUUCUCAAAAUUGAAAUAUCUCUCAAGUUUAGGCAUGACUGUUAUUAAUUAAGAUUUGCUCUAAACCUGAACUUGUGGGGAGAGUACUGGAUCUAAAGUCUAUGUCGUUAACGGAUACGAUAUGGGAAGGUUGAGCUGCUGUUUAUCUAUUCCUAGAGAUGCUAGAAUUCUGGAGAACUUUAUCUUUGAAAAUCUUUAAAAUGUUGCAUGAUGAGUUCUUGUAUGAUGAGAGUUUAAAAUCCUACCACAGCCAUAUAUACAUGCUUAUUAGGCUAUGCACCAUACAUUUACUUUUUACUGCUUAUGAGCAUUGACUGUGGUCAAGCUGUGUUGACCCUUAGGAACUUUGUCAUGUGGUUAAAAUCAAGAUUCACUUGCACGUUCACUCAUACAUGCUGCUUCUACUCCGGAAGUACGCAUCCACAUACAUCCACUCAUUUUCAUAUCCAGAUUCACCCAAAAUUAUUCUACUCCUAUCUAGGAGUGAAUAGCCAAAAAUAUUAUUCUAUCCCUAUUAUUCACCGUGAAAUAAAUGCUCGAGAUAUGUUGGUUACUACCACUUGCUGCAUUAUUCCAGGAGGGUGAGUGCUCUGAAAAAAGUGAAUAUGAGGAAAUAAAAAGGGGCAAGUGCCCGAAACCUCAAAAAAAGAAAAAGUGAGAUGAGAGAUAAAAAUGGACAAGUGUCCGAUAGUAGAAUUAGGGGUACAAGAUACCCACCUAAGAGAAAAGAAAAAUAAAAUAUAGAGCAUCUCAUUCCCCUCAAAAGCCUCAAGUGCAAGAAAGGAAUGUACCCCCUCAAAAGAGAAAAAGUAGAAUUAUACUUUCACCAUAUUUUCUCCAUUAUCACCAUUCAUUUCACCACACAUGCACAUCUUGAUUUGACUUAUGACUUGUUCUUCUGGAUCCAUGGUUUGACUAUGCAAUAAAUGUCUUGUAAGUAUGUAUUAGCUGUCUCCCAGCUAUGAGCUCCAGAUAUCAAAACCUUAUUAGAGUAGGGUGAGAGAGAAGGCAAUGUCACUAUGCCUCAUACCAAAAAUACCACAUACUUUUAGAGAAGGCAUACACCAUUACUGCCUUGGUAAGGAUCCAAAAAUACCACAAAAGAGAGACUAGAGAGAGUUAUACAAGGAAUCUCUGAGGUUUAUUUGAAAACCUACAAAAACUCCAGAGCUAUAGUUAAUCGAAGAACAAGAGACGUGGCGCUUGACUAGACCGUUCUAUCUUUUAACUGCUCAAGACACAAGUGACGGUUGCAAGCCCCAUGGUGGAAGGUAAAAUGAGUA